rnacentral:rRNA from 1 species
CCUACGGGAGGCAGCAGUGGGGGAUAUUGCACAAUGGGGGAAACCCUGAUGCAGCGACGCCGCGUGUGGGAAGACGGUCCUCUGGAUUGUAAACCACUGUCCCCAGGGACGAAGAUGCCGUUACCUGGGGAGGACGCUCCGGCUAACUACGUGCCAGCAGCCGCGGUAAUACGUAGGGAGCGAGCGUUGUCCGGAAUUACUGGGGGGAAAGGGAGCGUAGGCGGGGCUGAAAGUUGGGUGUAAAAUCUACCGGCUCAACCGGUAGCCGCACUCAAAACUGCAGUGCGUGAGUGAAGUAGGGGCAGGCGGAAUUCCUAGUGUAGCGGUGAAAUGCGUAGAUAUUAGGAGGAACACCAGUGGCGAAGGCGGCCUGCUGGGCUUUGACUGACGCUGAGGCUCGAAAGUGUGGGGAGCAAACAGGAUUAGAUACCCCUGUAGUC